CAACCACACCAGGAGCCAGAUUAGUUCCUGACAUCUGUCCUGUAUUAAUCAUUGCUAUUCAAUACCACUCAAUAAAGAAGCCCUGAGGACACCCCAAAACACAUGGGAUCCAAGUGAAUGAUGCUCUGCUAGUGAGAAAUUAGAGCCAUUAACAAACAAAGCAGAGAAUGAAAUUAAUGGUGACUCACACAAUGGCUGACAUACUGAACUCCUUUUCUAACUGUCGUCCAUUGGAAAAGAUAUGGGGGAGGAGUGGGAAGACUGAACAAUUUGGAGGUGGACCCGAUCUCCGUUUAGCAGUCCUUCUUCCUGGAACAGCAUCCCGUGGUCAAAGAAGCCGAAGUCCUCCUGGUGACACCAUCUUUGUAGCCAGGCAUUCAUCUCCAGGAUGCAUCUGUCUCUGCCGAGGCCCCUACCCUUGACUGUAAGGACUGAAGAAAAGCUUAUAAGAAAAAUAUGUAUCAAACACAUUGUGUUCAAAAUAAUUUCUGUGUAUCGCCAUUAUCGAUAUGCUGCACAUUUACAUAACAAGAAAGGAGAAUGUUUUAUUAGU